UACGUAGGGUGCAAGCGUUAAUCGGAAUUACUGGGCGUAAAGCGUGCGCAGGCGGUUUUGUAAGUCUGUCGUGAAAUCCCCGGGCUCAACCUGGGAAUUGCGAUGGAGACUGCAAGGCUAGAAUCUGGCAGAGGGGGGUAGAAUUCCACGUGUAGCAGUGAAAUGCGUGGAGAUGUGGAGGAACACCGAUGGCGAAGGCAGCCCCCUGGGUCAAGAUUGACGCUCAUGCACGAAAGCGUGGGGAGCAAACAGG
rnacentral:rRNA from 1 species